rnacentral:rRNA from 1 species
AUUGAACGCUGGCGGCAUGCUUUACACAUGCAAGUCGAACGGCAGCGCGGGCUUCGGCCUGGCGGCGAGUGGCGAACGGGUGAGUAAUACAUCGGAACGUGCCAGUAGUGGGGGAUAGCUCGGCGAAAGCCGGAUUAAUACCGCAUACGACCUGAGGGUGAAAGCGGGGGAUCUUCGGACCUCGCGCUAUUGGAGCGGCCGAUGGCAGAUUAGCUAGUUGGUGGGGUAAAGGCCUACCAAGGCGACGAUCUGUAGCUGGUCUGAGAGGACGACCAGCCACACUGGGACUGAGACACGGCCCAGACUCCUACGGGAGGCAGCAGUGGGGAAUUUUGGACAAUGGGCGAAAGCCUGAUCCAGCAAUGCCGCGUGUGUGAUGAAGGCCUCCGGGUUGUAAAGCACUUUUGGCGGGAACGAAAAGGACUGUGCCAAUACCACGGUUCGAUGACGGUACCCGCAGAAUAAGCACCGGCUAACUACGUG